rnacentral:rRNA from 1 species
AGAAUCAACGCUGGCGGCGUGCCUAACACAUGCAAGUCGAACGAGAAAGUGGAGCAAUCCCUGAGUAAAGUGGCGCACGGGUGAGUAACACGUGACUAACCUACCCUUGAGUGGGGGAUAACCUAGGGAAACCUGGGCUAAUACCGCAUAAUACCUUCGGGUCAAAGGAGCAAUUCGCUUAAGGAGGGGGUCGCGGCCGAUUAGUUAGUUGGCGGGGUAAUGGCCCACCAAGACUGUGAUCGGUAUCCGGCCUGAGAGGGCGCACGGACACACUGGAACUGAAACACGGUCCAGACUCCUACGGGAGGCAGCAGUGGGGAAUUUUGCGCAAUGGGGGAAACCCUGACGCAGCAACGCCGCGUGGAGGAUGAAGUCCCUUGGGACGUAAACUCCUUUCGAUCGGGACGAUUAUGACGGUACCGGAAGAAGAAGCCCCGGCUAACUUCGCGCCAGCAGCCGC